ACGACCUUACUUGAACAGGAUCUGUUCUAUAGAGUUGUACCUCUGUAUCCUUGAUUUCUAAGGAGACAGGAACCAUGUCUGGAAGAUGAAACAUGGCCUGCCCGGUCGGAGCGUGAUUAUUGGUUACUAUCGGCUGCGAUAAAUCAAGCCGCUGGUCCCUCAGAUGAUCGUUCUUGGCUAGACCACGGUCUGGUUUGGAUGGCCGGGCAGCUAGCUGACAGAUU